rnacentral:rRNA from 1 species
CCUACGGGAGGCAGCAGUGGGGAAUUUUGGACAAUGGGCGAAAGCCUGAUCCAGCAAUGCCGCGUGAGUGAAGAAGGCCUUCGGGUUGUAAAGCUCUUUUGUCAGGGAAGAAACGGUGAGAGCUAAUAUCUCUUGCUAAUGACGGUACCUGAAGAAUAAGCACCGGCUAACUACGUGCCAGCAGCCGCGGUAAUACGUAGGGUGCAAGCGUUAAUCGGAAUUACUGGGCGUAAAGCGUGCGCAGGCGGUUUUGUAAGUCUGAUGUGAAAUCCCCGGGCUCAACCUGGGAAUUGCAUUGGAGACUGCAAGGCUAGAAUCUGGCAGAGGGGGGUAGAAUUCCACGUGUAGCAGUGAAAUGCGUAGAUAUGUGGAGGAACACCGAUGGCGAAGGCAGCCCCCUGGGUCAAGAUUGACGCUCAUGCACGAAAGCGUGGGGAGCAAACAGGAUUAGAUACCCUGGUAGUCCACGCCCUAAACGAUGUCUACUAGUUNUCGGGUCUUAAUUGACUUGGUAACGCAGCUAACGCGUGAAGUAGACCGCCUGGGGAUACGGUCGCAAGNUUAAAACUCAAAGGAAUUGACCGGNNGAGAGNGCGAGGCGACGACGAGGGGAGAGG